GACGAACGCUGGCGGCGUGCCUAAUACAUGCAAGUCGAGCGCAGGAAACUGACGGAACUCUUCGGAGGGAAGGCAGUGGAAUGAGCGGCGGACGGGUGAGUAACACGUAAGGAACCUGCCUCAAGGAUUGGGAUAACUCCGAGAAAUCGGAGCUAAUACCGGAUAGUUCAUCGGACCGCAUGGUCCGCUGAUGAAAGGCGCUCCGGCGUCACCUUCAGAUGGCCUUGCGGUGCAUUAGCUAGUUGGUGGGGUAACGGCCAACCAAGGCGACGAUGCAUAGCCGACCUGAGAGGGUGAUCGGCCACACUGGGACUGAGACACGGCCCAGACUCCUACGGGAGGCAGCAGUAGGGAAUCUUCCACAAUGGACGAAAGUCUGAUGGAGCAACGCCGCGUGAGUGAUGAAGGUUCUCGGAUCGUAAAACUCUGUUGUAAGGGAAGAACACGUACGAGAGGGAAUGCUCGUACCUUGACGGUACCUUACGAGAAAGCCACGGCUAACUACGUGCCAGCCGCCGCCGUAA
rnacentral:rRNA from 1 species